rnacentral:rRNA from 1 species
GACGAACGCUGGCGGCGUGCCUAAUACAUGCAAGUAGAACGCUGAAGGAGGAGCUUGCUUCUCUGGAUGAGUUGCGAACGGGUGAGUAACGCGUAGGUAACCUGCCUGGUAGCGGGGGAUAACUAUUGGAAACGAUAGCUAAUACCGCAUAAUAGCAGUUGUUGCAUGACAACUGUUUGAAAGGUGCAAUUGCACCACUACCAGAUGGACCUGCGUUGUAUUAGCUAGUUGGUGGGGUAACGGCUCACCAAGGCGACGAUACAUAGCCGACCUGAGAGGGUGAACGGCCACACUGGGACUGAGACACGGCCCAGACUCCUACGGGAGGCAGCAGUAGGGAAUCUUCGGCAAUGGACGGAAGUCUGACCGAGCAACGCCGCGUGAGUGAAGAAGGUUUUCGGAUCGUAAAGCUCUGUUGUAAGAGAAGAACGAGUGUGAGAGUGGAAAGUUCACACUGUGACGGUAUCUUACCAGAAAGGGACGGCUAACUACGUG